UACGUAGGCAGCGAGCGUUGUUCGGAGUUACUGGGCGUAAAGGGUGUGUAGGCGGUUGCUUAAGUUUGGUGUGAAAUCUCCCGGCUCAACCGGGAGGGUGCGCCGAAUACUGAGUGACUCGAGUACGGGAGAGGAAAGUGGAAUUCCUGGUGUAGCGGUGAAAUGCGUAGAUAUCAGGAGGAACACCGGUGGUGUAGACGGCUUUCUGGACCGUAACUGACGCUGAGACACGAAAGCGUGGGUAGCAAACAGG
rnacentral:rRNA from 1 species